CUAUUGCGCGCAGCCUGAUGCAGCCAUGCCGCGUGUGUGAGAAGGCCUUCGGGUUGUAAAGCACUUUCAGUCGGGAGGAAGGUAGUGGAGUUAAUACCUGCAUUAUUUGACGUUACCUACAGAAGAAGCACCGGCUAACUCCGUGCCAGCAGCCGCGGUAAUA
rnacentral:rRNA from 1 species